GCGGCAGGCCUAACACAUGCAAGUCGAGCGGAAACGACUUAACUGAACCUUCGGGGAACGUUAAGGGCGUCGAGCGGCGGACGGGUGAGUAAUGCCUAGGAAAUUGCCCUGAUGUGGGGGAUAACCAUUGGAAACGAUGGCUAAUACCGCAUGAUGCCUACGGGCCAAAGAGGGGGACCUUCGGGCCUCUCGCGUCAGGAUAUGCCUAGGUGGGAUUAGCUAGUUGGUGAGGUAAUGGCUCACCAAGGCGACGAUCCCUAGCUGGUCUGAGAGGAUGAUCAGCCACACUGGAACUGAGACACGGUCCAGACUCCUACGGGAGGCAGCAGUGGGGAAUAUUGCACAAUGGGCGCAAGCCUGAUGCAGCCAUGCCGCGUGUGUGAAGAAGGCCUUCGGGUUGUAAAGCACUUUCAGUCGUGAGGAAGGUGGUGUAGUUAAUAGCUGCAUUAUUUGACGUUAGCGACAGAAGAAGCACCGGCUAACUCCGUGCCAGCAGCCGCGGUAAUACGGAGGGUGCGAGCGUUAAUCGGAAUUACUGGGCGUAAAGCGCAUGCAGGUGGUUUGUUAAGUCAGAUGUGAAAGCCCGGGGCUCAACCUCGGAAUAGCAUUUGAAACUGGCAGACUAGAGUACUGUAGAGGGGGGUAGAAUUUCAGGUGUAGCGGUGAAAUGCGUAGAGAUCUGAAGGAAUACCGGUGGCGAAGGCGGCCCCCUGGACAGAUACUGACACUCAGAUGCGAAAGCGUGGGGAGCAAACAGGAUUAGAUACCCUGGUAGUCCACGCCGUAAACGAUGUCUACUUGGAGGUUGUGGCCUUGAGCCGUGGCUUUCGGAGCUAACGCGUUAAGUAGACCGCCUGGGGAGUACGGUCGCAAGAUUAAAACUCAAAUGAUUUGACGG
rnacentral:rRNA from 1 species